rnacentral:lncRNA from 1 species
GGACGCUGCUGAGGCCACAGCACGUCAGGCUGGAGGCACAGAACUUCCACGUCUUGCUGCGCUGGGAGCCAGACCCCAGCUCACCCAGCUCUGCCACCUAUGAGGUGGAGUGGAGGAACAGCAAUUGUUGGCCCCCCCAAGCUGUCUUGGCUGCUCCAGGACCAAAUCCUCAGCGUAAACAUCAUCACACCACCCACUCCCUACCAGAGAAGGACUGGUUCCUACAAGCCAGUCAACCGAGUGCUGCUGAAGCUGUGGUACUGGCUGCACCUGUACGAGGGGGACCUGCUUGUCCAGCAGGUGCCCUGCAAACGGAGCAGUGAGAAAGUGCCUUGCACCUUUGGGCACCUGAAGCCCAGCACACAGUACUGUGUCCGGACGGUGGCUGCAGACAUUGCCAGGGAGCGGAGCCAGGAGGCUGAGCAGUGCCUGGUGACUCCAGCAGCCCCCUCAGGUGGGAGCACUCUCACCAACUCAGCUGGCACGGUGGCAUCUCAGAUCCUGCUCACAGCACAAACUUGUGUGGAGGUGUGAAUACCUCACCCCCAGCCACUGUGGUCAGGGUUGUGGCCCGGUGCUGCCCAGUGGGGACCUCUCAUGAUGAUGCUUUCUUGUCAUCUGCCUUGGGCUUGCCUCCUGAAACAUCCCAGUGUGACAUGGAUGGGAAGCACUGACAGAGAGUGGGGUGGGAGGGAUGUGUUUGAGUGACCCCUCAGCCUGCUGUGAUGUCCUGCCAGGCUUUCCAUGGGUCUCUGCUGUGCUGAGUGCCUUCUUCCUGCUGCUGCCUCUGAGUGUGGCCGGGAUGUGCUUCGUGCAGCUGCAUGUCUUUCCCAGUCCUCAGGAGAUGUGCCUCCCAAAAGCACUGGCUCUCCAGAACAGCGAGCUGAAUGUGGCCAUGCAGGUGCCUCCACUGCAGCUUGAGGAGGACCCACUGGCCCUGCUCCUGCAGACUGUGCUCCCCUCCCACGGGCCAUCCACAGCUGUGCAGGCAUCAGCCACGGUCCCACGGCUCCUGCGAGGCCUUGUCCAGGAUGUGAGUGGCUACUGUGCCAACGGGUUUGGCCCAGACUGCAUUGAGGGAAGGGACCCGUCCUGCACCCACAGUCAGCUGGGGCAUGCCUUAGGUUCUCAGGUCCCCUCACAGCUGGAGAAGGAUGAGGAGGCAGGUGAUGGGGAUGAUGUGCCAGAGCAGCUGGUGCUAAUGGGACUGGCUGGACACAGCUACAUAGGUGACAAGGACAGCCAGAUACCUAAAAUGUGGCUCCCCCUGCACCUCCAGCUUUAUUCUAAAUGCCAGUGCCCAGUUCUGGGAGCAGACAGCCACCUUCCUCUGCCCGUGCCGAGCAGAAGCUGCAGCCAGGACUGCCUGCAGGAGAGUCCGGGGACGGCUCGGCACUGGAUCCGGCUCAGCUCCGUGAGGCUCCUGCCCAGCACGGAGACGGAAGGCGGGCAGCGCCCCUGUGCUCCCCAGGCUCUGCGGGGCGGCGGGAGUGACCCAGAGCUAGGGGACAGCGCCGUGCAGCGAGGCUCCCCGGGGCAGGCCGAGCCGUGUCCGUGCCCGCUGCCCCCCUCGCCCCGCGGCCUGCGGGCAGCUCCCUUCCCCGGCUACGAGCCCCGGGCCCCGGCGGGCAGCGAGCCUUAGCGGCCCAGCCGAGCCCAGGCCGCCUCCCGCAGCUCCCCGGCCGGAACGGCUGUCUGUCUGUGUCUGUCUGUCUGUCCGUCUGUCUGUGUCUAUCCGUCUCUCCGUCUGUCUGUCUGUCUGUCCCAGCCUGCUGGGGCGUGCUGCGGGUGGGACCGGGCAGGCUCCAAGGGCAGGCACAGGCCCGUUCCGGGCACGGCCGCCAAAGACGGGCGAGAUCCAGAGCUUUCCUCUGGGGAUUCGGUGCUCUUGAGACACCUCAUAAGGAGCAUGGAGCAACGCUGAAGCCCCAAACCUCUUAUCUAGAGAUCUGUCUGUAUGUGUGCAUGUAUGGUACAGUAUCUAUACUAAUGUAACACUCAUAUAUACAUAUAUAUUUGUAAAGCUCUUUAAUGAAAAAAAUGUUGGGGGUUUUACUUCUGUGGAAAUGUUGAUUCUGUGCUGGAGUUGUUUUUAAAUAUCACUAAUUUAUUCUAGAAAAC